GACGAACCGUGCAAACGUUGUUCGGAUUCACUGGGCUUAAAGGGCGCGUAGGCGGGCGGCCAAGUCCGGGGUGAAAUCUUUCGGCUCAACCGGAAAAUUGCCCUAGAUACUGGCUGUCUUGAGGGAGGUAGGGGCAUGUGGAACUUCCGGUGGAGCGGUGAAAUGCGUUGAUAUCGGAAGGAACGCCGGUGGCGAAAGCGACGUGCUGGACCUCUUCUGACGCUGAGGCGCGAAAGCUAGGGGAGCAAACGGG
rnacentral:rRNA from 1 species